AACGGCUGUACCGAGCGGUGGUGGGAGGGGCGUGCAUCGCCUGGAUCUCAUCUCGGCAAUAAGGCCAGCGUACCAGGAGGUGUUCAAACCCGAGAACAUCAGCCUGAGGAACAAGCUGCGGGAGCUGUGUGUGAAGCUGAUGUUCUUGCAUCCCGUGGAUUAUGGCAGAAAAGCGGAAA
rnacentral:lncRNA from 7 species